AAUGAACGCUAGCGGCGUGCUUAACACAUGCAAGUCGUACGAGAACUCUUUAGCUUGCUAAAGAUAGUAAAGUGGCGCACGGGUGAGUAACGCGUGGGUAAUCUACCUCGGAAUUUGGGAUAACUCCGCGAAAGCGGGGCUAAUACCGGAUAAUAUUUCAGGACCUUCGGAUUUUGAAAUCAAAAGUGGUCUCUACAUGUAAGCUACUGUUUGGAGAUGAGCCCGCGUACCAUUAGCUUGUUGGCAGGGUAAUGGCCUACCAAGGCUACGAUGGUUAGCUGGUCUGAGAGGAUGAUCAGCCACACUGGAACUGACACACGGUCCAGACUCCUACGGGAGGCAGCAGUGGGGAAUUUUGCGCAAUGGGGGAAACCCUGACGCAGCAACGCCGCGUGAGUGAUGAAGGCUUUCGGGUCGUAAAGCUCUGUCAAGUGGGAAGAACAUGGAAAAUGUUAAUAUCAUUUUUUACUGACGGUACCACUAAAGGAAGCACCGGCUAACUCCGUGCCAGCAGCCGCGGUAAUACGGGGGGUGCAAGCGUUAUUCGGAAUUAUUGGGCGUAAAGGGCGCGUAGGCGGUCUUUUAAGUCAGAUGUGAAAGCCCGGGGCUUAACCCCGGAAGUGCAUUUGAAACUGAAGGACUUGAGUAUGGGAGAGGGAAGUGGAAUUCCUGGUGUAGAGGUGAAAUUCGUAGAUAUCAGGAGGAACACCGGUGGCGAAGGCGACUUCCUGGACCAAUACUGACGCUGAGGCGCGAAGGCGUGGGGGGCAAACAGGAUUAGAUACCCUGGUAGUCCACGCAGUAAACGAUGAACACUAGGUGUAGCGGGUAUUGACCCCUGCUGUGCCGCAGUUAACGCAUUAAGUGUUCCGCCUGGGGAGUACGACCGCAAGGUUAAAACUCAAAGGAAUUGACGGGGGCCCGCACAAGCGGUGGAGCAUGUGGUUUAAUUCGAUGCUACGCGAAGAACCUUACCAGGGCUUGACAUUUGCCGAGUAAGAACCGGAAACGGGGAUGACCUGUCAAAUCAGGAAGGCAAACAGGUGCUGCUUGGCUGUCGUCAGCUCGUGUCGUGAGAUGUCGGGUUAAGCCCUACAACGAGCGCAACCCUUAUUCUUAGUUGCUACCCCGAUUUAUCGGGAGCACUCUAAGGAGACUGCCCGUGAUAAGCGGGAGGAAGGUGGGGAUGACGUCAAGUCAGUAUGGUCCUUAUGUCCUGGGCGACACACGUGCUACGAUGGCCUGUACAAAGGGCUGCGAAGCCGAGAGGCCAAGCGAAUCCCAAAAAGCAGGCCCCAGUUCGGAUUGAAGGCUGCAACUCGCCUUCAUGAAGUUGGAAUCGCUAGUAAUCCUAGAUCAGCCACGCUAGGGUGAAUACGUUCCCGGGCCUUGUACACACCGCCCGUCAAGUCACCUGAGUUGAAUGCACCCGAAGCCGCCAUAUCAACCCUGAUGUCAAAAUCGGGGAGAGAGGCGUCGAAGGUGUGUUUGGCAAGGGGGAC
rnacentral:rRNA from 1 species